rnacentral:tRNA from 1 species
GGGCCUGUAGCUCAGUCGGGAGAGCGUUCGGUUCGCAACCGAAAGGCCGAGGGUUCGACCCCCUUCAGGUCCACCA